rnacentral:rRNA from 1 species
GGGUCAGUAGGUUGGUCGUGCCACCGGUACGUACUGGUCUCACUGAUUCCUCCUUCCUGAAGAACCGUAAUGCCACUAAUUUGGUGUUGCGGGGAAACAGGACUGUUACUUUGAAAAAAUUAGAGUGUUUAAAGCAAGCUAACGCUUGAAUACAUUAGCAUGGAGUAAUGAAAUAGGACGAUCGAUCCUAUUUUGUUGGUUUCUAGGAUUGACGUA